UAGUUGAAGAAACCCUAGAUCGGCCGCACAAGUUGUUCCUCUCCUAAUCAAGGCGAUUAUCCAUCUUCACUUCGUCAUCCCUUCAUCAUAUUCAAUUUAUGACUUCUGUGUUGAACUCACGCUCAAUGGCGGCCAGAAACACACUCCUCAUGUACCGGCGUGACACCAGUUCUUCGAUCUUUAUGCGCUCAAAACCCUAGCAUAAUCGUUCUUCAAUCUUCCCUGCUCAAAACCCCAGCAUAAUCGGAGGACUGCUAUUUCGGUGCCUUUUCUUUGUGAUACCUCAUAUUGGAGAAUUUCAAUUGAAAUUAAUCUGGUGCUUUUGAAUCCUCUGUACGUUUCCUAUUUCCGUUGCCAUUGAGAAACAGCUUCAAAAUCCCAUAGAGUUUUGCUAUUUACAUGGGUGUGUGCGGGAGUUUUGACAUGGAUUGGCAUGUAUGUCAAAUCGAGAAAAACUUUAGACACUUGUCGUAUUGAUAGUUCUGGACUUAUACAUGGAGCACCAUGGAUAUAUGUUCCUUAUCCAUUUCAGUGGGGCACCCCAACUUUUGAUGUAACAGAAGUAUUCAUGAUGGUAGUUGCUUCAUUCAUCUCUACCAUUUAGUCCACUGGUUCGUUUCUCGCAACAGCAAGAUAUGGGAGCGCGACUCCUGUGUCGCCUUCUGUUUUAAGUCGCGGUAUCGGGUGGCUGGGAUUUGGGACUUUCAUUGGUAGCAUGUGAGGGAAAACUCCGGUGCAUUGGCAUUAACUAAAGUUGGAAGUCAACGCGUGAUUCAAAUAUCAGCUGCUUUCAUGCUCUUCUUUUCAGUCUUUGGUAAAAAGUCUCGCCUUGUCUUGUAUCUUCUUUCGAGAGGGAGUUCAUUUAUGUUCAAUUAAAUUGAAAAGGUGGAAGCUGGUAAUAACUUUUGUUACUUUCAGUUGUUACAAUCACACUUCUUUUAUGCUAUUGCUUAUAGAAAUUGGCUUUUUUAUUACUAAGUCAAUUUUUGGUGGUAGAAUGCAUUUAACGGCUUCAAACAACUUGUAUGUUGAUCGGUUAAUAACACCAUCUUUUUUUACGUAUUAGGGGAAACCUAGCUUAUAGUAAUGGUGAUUUGGCUAAAGAAGAAGAUUGUUAUAUACAAGGGUUAAACUUUGUUUCAGAAUAUGAGAACUCUACAAGCUGCAUUAGAGCUUUGAUGUUGUGCUAUAGUAAUGAUGCAGCAGCGAAGACGUCUCUUGAAAGGAUAAAAGAAGCAUUAGAAGAUUGUCUCGUGGCUGCCACUAUAGAUCCCAACUUUCUUAAGGUUCAAGUUCGGGUUGCACAGAUGUCUAGAAGACGUUUCCUGGUGCAUUGUGCUUAGGAGGUUCAAUGGAAGCAAUUAGGCGUUUUGUAUGUGGGCAUGGUGUGACUUUAAUCAUGUGAAUAAGCUUAUGUUAUUCUGAAACAUUGUAAUGUGAAUAAGCUUAUGUGAUGACAUCCAAAAAGCUAAGCAUCUGAUGUUUUAGGUGGUCUAGAAACACUAACUAUGACGGAUUCAUCAUAUGACAUGGUGAAAUUGUGUAAAGCUACUGAAAAGGAUUUUUCUGGUGAUACAUUCAUCGAUGUUUAACCUAAUUCUCCAUAUGUCCCCUCUUCAAUUUAAUUAUAUUGUCAUUAUUGUUCAGAAUCAAAGGCCCCUGUUAUUUAUUGCCGAGGAUGUGGAAAGUGAUGCAUUGGCUACCUUAAAUUUUAACAAGCUUCAUGUUGGAGAUAUGGUUUAUGAUACAAAAGCACUUUGUUUUGGUGGUGAACAUAGAGGCUAAAUGAUUGGAUUCUAUUCUUCAAACGGGUCAAUAUGGUGAACAGAGUGUUUGAGUGUCUAUAUUAACAGAGGGGACUCGAUUUACUAAGGGAAAUGUUUUGGCAAUUCGAGGGAUAUGCAUCUUCAAAUGGACUCGACUAUCUUUAAAAUGUGUUCUUUUACUAUGUAAUAUAUUGUAUUAGAUGAACUUCAUGUUAUUUUGUUGGAUUAGAUAUGAAAAAACUUCUUUACUUGCAAAAAAA